CUCAUCAGACGCAGAGCUUCUGGAAGCCACCAGUCCUCCCAGUCCGGAGCGGAUGAUGAUCAGACCCCAGGAGCAGAUUAUGAAAACAUUUCUGUGGCAAGAAAUGUCCCGAACUCAGGAGAUCACCAGGCAGAUCCAAACGCCAUCUACAUGGAUUUGCAAAGACCCACUCAGUCCAUCUACGGUCACCUCCGAGGUACGUUCCAGUAACUGUUGACAAUGGC